GUGAGGAAUUUUCCGCAAUGGGCGAAAGCCUGACGGAGCAAUGCCGCGUGAAGGAUGAAGGCCUAUGGGUUGUGAACUUCUUUUCUCAGAAAAGAAUUAUGACGGUAUCUGAGGAAUAAGCAUCGGCUAACUCUGUGCCAGCAGCCGCGGUAAGACAGAGGAUGCAAGCGUUAUCCGGAAUGAUUGGGCGUAAAGCGUCUGUAGGUUGUUUAAAAAGUAUUCUGUCAAAGAUUAGGGCUUAACCCUAGAUAGGCAGAAUAAACUUUUAAGCUAGAGUUUGGUAGAGGCAGAGGGAAUUCCCGGUGGAGCGGUGAAAUGCGUAGAUAUCGGGAGGAACACCAAAGGCGAAGGCACUCUGCUGGGCCAAUACUAACACUGAGAGACGAAAGCGAGGGGAGCAAAUGGGAUUAGAAACCCCAGUAGCC
rnacentral:rRNA from 1 species